rnacentral:rRNA from 1 species
UACAGAGGGGGCGAGCGUUGUUCGGAAUUACUGGGCGUAAAGGGCGCGUAGGCGGCCAACUAAGUCGGACGUGAAAUCCCCUGGCUCAACCAGGGAACUGCGUCCGAUACUGAUUGGCUUGAAUCCGGGAGAGGGAUGUGGAAUUCCAGGUGUAGCGGUGAAAUGCGUAGAUAUCUGGAGGAACACCGGUGGCGAAGGCGGCCUUCUGGACGAUAACUGACGCUGAGACGCGAAAGCGUGGGGAGCAAACAGG